UCAAACUUGGUCAUUUAGAGGAAGUAAAAGUCGUAACAAGGUUUCCGUAGGUGAACCUGCGGAAGGAUCAUUAUAGAUGGAAACACGGCUCCGACUGUGCUGGCGGCCUCCACCGCAUGUGCACGUCCGGGUCAAUCCAACAAACCCAGUGCACCUUUGGCCAUCCCCCCUCGACCGGGGGAGGGCACCCUUUUUUCCACAAACUCUGUAGUGUUUGAUGUAAACAGUCUGGUGCCUCUGGCACGAUGACAAAAUACAACUUUCAACAACGGAUCUCUUGGCUCUCGCAUCGAUGAAGAACGCAGC
rnacentral:misc_RNA from 1 species